rnacentral:lncRNA from 1 species
UGAGCUCAGUCUUGGCUCAUAUGAGAUCCUGCAAAAACAGUUGGGUAAAGCUGCUGUGUUGCUGCUGGCGAUAGAUGUUUCUGCCAGUGCGGUUAGAACGGGGCAGCCAGACCACAUUUGUAAGCAGAUUUGUUCUCAAUUGCAAGCUUUAAAUGGGCCCGAAGAAACUGUCCGAUCAGAGCUUCGAGUGGGUUUGAUGACCUAUGACAGCCGUAUCCAUCUGUAUAACCUGAGUCCAGCUCUGUCCCGCCCCCACAUGAUGGUCAUCACUGACUGUGAAGAGUUGGAACUUCCUGUGGGGGAGGGCCUUCUGGUGCCACUGAAAGACUGCAGACACAUACUUGAAAGGUUUUGACAUGGCAUUUGUUCUACUAAUUUAAUUAUCGUUAAAGCAAGAGGCAAAAGGUUAACAAUAGUUCUUUCUUCUUGGACAGAGUUCUACAGGAAAUUUCACUUUUCAACCCUGAA